GCCAGUCACCACUCAUGUUGUUCGCUCCUGCUCAAAAUCAUAUAUCACAGCACCAGAAAUGGUUGGCAGUGCAGUCUUGGUGGUUUUGCUGUUGGUGUCUGCUGCGUAUAGGUGGACAAGGUCAGGGGGUGGCUGGGCUCCCUCUCUUCCCCUCCGGAGGGGAGAGGAGAGCCCUGCGACCCCCCAACUCAGCCUUUGGCUAGAGUUAGAGUCAGCGUUUGGAGUGUGUGCUGUGAAGGAAGAGAUUCACAGCAUCUGAGCUGCAGUCACAUCA